rnacentral:rRNA from 1 species
AACGAACGCUGGCGGCAUGCCUAACACAUGCAAGUCGAACGAGACCUUCUGGUAUAGUGGCGCACGGGAGCGUAACGCGUGGGAAACUGCCAUUAGGUUCGGAAUCACUCCCCGAAAGGGGUGCUAAUACCGGAUAAUGUCUUCGGAACAAAGAUUAAUCGCCUUUGGAUAGGCCCGCGUCGGUUUAGCCAGUUAGUAGGGUAAAACACUACUCAGGCGACGAUCCAUAGCUGGUGAGUGAGGAUGGUCAGCCACACUGGGACUGAGACACCGCCCAGACUCCUACGAUAGGCAGCAGAGGGGAAUAUUGGACAAUUGGCGAAAGCCUGAUCCAGCAAGGCCGCGUAAGUUAUGAAGUCCUUAGGGUUGUAAAGCUCUUUUACCAGGCAUGAAAAUGACAGUACCGGGAGAGUAAGCUCCGGCUAACUCCGUG